rnacentral:rRNA from 1 species
CCUGACGCAGCGACGCCGCGUGGAGGAAGAAGGCCCUUGGGUUGUAAACUCCUUUUGCCAGGGAAGAGUAAGGACGGUACCUGGCGAAAAAGCCCCGGCUAACUACGUGCCAGCAGCCGCGGUAAGACGUAGGGGGCGAGCGUUACCCGGAUUUAUUGGGCGUAAAGAGCGCGCAGGCGGUCUGGUACGUCCCUGGUGCAAGCUCCUGGCUUAACUAGGAGAGGUCCAGGGAUACGGCCCGGCUAGAGGGCAGUAGAGGCGAGUGGAAUUCCUGGUGUAGCGGUGAUAUGCGCAGAUAUCAGGAGGAACACCUGAGGCGAAAGCGACUCGCUGGGCUGUCCCUGACGCUGAGGCGCGAGAGCGUGGGGAGCGAACCGGAUUAGAUACCCGGGUAGUCCACGCCCUAAACGAUGGAUGCUAGGUAUGGGGGGUAUCGACCCCUUCCGUGCCGCAGCUUACGCAAUAAGCAUCCCGCCUGGGGAGUACGGCCGCAAGGCUAAAACUCAAAGGAAUUGACGG